CCAUCUACCCCGCAGCCAACCAAGUUCACUUCCCCUCAACAUGCCGUCCAGAACCAUGUUGGUCGUGUGUGUUAUCACGGCCAUGCUUCUCCUCGUCUCACGUGAUGUUGCAGGUGCCAGACGAGUGCAUGCUCAAAACGAAGAUGGCGAUGCCAGAAAGGCGGUGAAGAAGGCCAAUCAGGCGAAAACGAUCGGUGGCUAUGUGACUGUCAAAGAAGGAUCACCAUAUACCGUCGACCCUAAUCAUCCUACAGCCCCAUGUUAUGGCCCUCCUUGUAAAAAAUAGUUAUGCAUUUGACGCCAUUGUGAACUGGUUAUGUUGCUUCUAUGUACUACUAGUAAUUAUGCACAUCCUACACACCAAACCUAUCAACCAUUAUAUAUGAUGAAAAACAUAGCCGAUCAUAUAUGUUACCUCUCUGGUACUAUCUGUAUGGAAGGUCAUUGUAUACAUAGCGCACUAGCUGAAGAUUAUCAUACAACCUUUGCUAUCAGUGAAAUAAUGCUCUUGGAGUA